rnacentral:lncRNA from 1 species
AUUAGACUCCCUAUGAAUUUUAAGAUGAUGGUUCACAUGUACUCAGCUAUUAGAAGGGCUAUAUUCAACUAUUCUGUCUUGAGGACACAUUCAUAUUGUGUCCUCUGUUUGCCAAGGUUCUUAUAAAUUCACUGGUGCCCUUGGUUCUGCCCCAGAGCCGUACAUUGAAAUCUGACUAUCACAUGUCCUAUCUGGCUAGCACAUUCCGCAAUGGCUCACUCAUUAUCCAAUAACCAUUCAUGAGUACCUCCCACUGGUGAGAGCUUGGCACAUAAGAACCAAGAGUAUAUGGUCCACCUCAAGGACAGAUCAGGACCCCAGCACAGGGAUUCUGAGAGACUGCAGAAGGUCAUCUCUGGACUUGGGAAGUCUUCCUUCAGAAGUUGUGAAUAAGAUGAAUGAGCCACUAGCCAGAGCAAAAGCAUGAGGCAGGGCUCUAGGCAGAGGGCACAGCAUAUGCCUAUAACAUAGCUCACCUAUCUCUCAGAAGUUUCUACUGAGGAUGUUGCAUCACAUGUACAUGAAAAGAUCUGCACAUAUUUUAGGGAUCAGUUUCCUUUCAAACAGUUCACAUAAUUUUCCUAGACAUUUAUUUUAAACUAAACCUACCCAGGAAAAAGAGAAUAUCAGAUGUCCAUGUUCCAAAUAAAUUGUGGAAAAUGUGGGAAAGUCCCUCCAUCAGCAUCACAGUCAAUUUGAAAAAUGAGACCUCUCUAGCUUUUACUAGAAUAUAUGCUGAAAGAACCCCUCAGUAAAUCAAACUUAUAAAAAUGGUAGGUGAUAGCUCUAAGAAGCAGAACUAGAUUAGAAACAGGAGACCUCAUAGCCCAGACCUGCUCUGCACCAAUUCUCAUUAUGUCUCACCCUCUGCCUCUAGCUGGACCUGUUCAUGGUUAGUCCAGGAAACUGUUCCUAGUGCUGGCUGGCCUCAGCCUAUUUGCCUCCCUAUGCAUCAAUGCAAGAAUACAUGGGGAGUACAACAAAAGGAAUCCCUAGAACCUCUCCUCAGACCAGCCAGACUACCUCCUCUUCAAGGAGUUUGACCCCCUCCUCCUCAUGAGGCCCCUCAGGCUGCCAGCCCCUCCUUAUCUCCCACUCCUCCAGCAUUCACCUGGCCCUUACUAACCAGAGAGUUGGAGACAUGGGAUCUCUGUAGGAAUUUCCCCAACCUCUCCAAGCCAGACCACAAGCUCCUAAAGCAGUGGCUGCCUCCCACACCACCAUGCCCUGCAUAUUUCCAGUAAGUCAUCCUAAAGCCAGUUGUUUCUUCUGUAAGGUGACUGACUAAAGUAAAGACAACUUGCUCC